rnacentral:rRNA from 1 species
CCUGGGAACCGCNUUCUGAACUGGGUGACUAGAGUGUGUCAGAGGGAGGUAGAAUUCCACGUGUAGCAGUGAAAUGCGUAGAGAUGUGGAGGAAUACCGAUGGCGAAGGCANCCUCCUGGGAUAACACUGACGUUCAUGCCCGAAAGCGUGGGUAGCAAACAGGAUUAGAUACCCUGGUAGUCCACGCCCUAAACGAUGUCGAUUAGCUGUUGGGCAGCAUGACUGCUUAGUAGCGAAGCUAACGCGUGAAAUCGACCGCCUGGGGAGUACGGUCGCAAGAUUAAAACUCAAAGGAAUUGACGGGGACCCGCACAAGCGGUGGAUGAUGUGGAUUAAUUCGAUGCAACGCGAAGAACCUUACCUGGUCUUGACAUGUACGGAACCCUCCAGAGACGGAGGGGUGCCUUCGGGAGCCGUAACACAGGUGCUGCAUGGCUGUCGUCAGCUCGUGUCGUGAGAUGUUGGGUUAAGNCNNGCAACGAGCGCAACCCUUGUCAUUAGUUGCCAUCAUUAAGUUGGGCACUCUAAUGAGACUGCCGGUGACAAGCCGGAGGAAGGUGGGGAUGACGUCAAGUCCUCAUGGCCCUUAUGACCAGGGCUUCACACGUCAUACAAUGGUCGGUACAGAGGGUAGCCAAGCCGCGAGGUGGAGCCAAUCUCACAAAACCGAUCGUAGUCCGGAUUGCACUCUNC